AGAGUUUGAUCCGCUCAGGAUGAACGCUAGCUACAGGCUUAACACAUGCAAGUCGAGGGGAAACGGACAUCGAAAGCUUGUCUUUUGUAUGGUCGUCGACCGGCGCACGGGUGAGUAACGCGUAUCCAACCUGCCCAUCACUUGGGGAUAACCUUGCGAAAGUAAGACUAAUACCCAAUGAUAUCUCUAGAAGGCAUCUGAAAGAGAUUAAAGAUUUAUCGGUGAUGGAUGGGGAUGCGUCUGAUUAGCUUGUUGGCGGGGUAACGGCCCACCAAGGCAACGAUCAGUAGGGGUUCUGAGAGGAAGGUCCCCCACAUUGGAACUGAGACACGGUCCAAACUCCUACGGGAGGCAGCA
rnacentral:rRNA from 1 species